UUGCACGAAAACAACGAAAGCCCUAACCUCUCAAUCGUCCUUGCGGUUCCUAGACCGCGCCAGUGGUGAAUCCGUGUUCCUUCAACUGC
rnacentral:sRNA from 1 species